CAGCCGCCACGGUAAUACGAAGGGUGCAAGCGUUACUCGGAAUUACUUGGCGUAAAGCGUGCGUAGGUGGUGGUUUAAGUCCGUUGUGAAAGCCCUGGGCUCAGCCUGGGAAUUGCAGUGGAUACUGGGUCACUAGAGUGUGGUAGAGGAUAGUGGAAUUUCCGGUGUAGCAGUGAAAUGCGUAGAGAUCGGAAGGAACAUCUGUGGCGAAGGCGACUAUCUGGGCCAACACUGACACUGAGGCACGAAAGCGUGGGGAGCAAACAGGAUUAGAUACCCCUGUAGUCCCUGUCUCUUAUAC
rnacentral:rRNA from 1 species